AGGAUUUGAUUUAGGAUUAAGAUUUGGUUAGGAUUUGAUUUAGGGCUUAGGAUUUGGUUUAGGUUUUAGAGUUUGGUUAGGAUUUGAUUUAGGAUUUGGUUAGGAUUUAAUUUAGGAUUUAGAGUUUGAUUUAAGGUUUAGAGUUUGGUUAGGAUUUCAUUUAGGGUUAAGAUUUGGUUAGGGUUUGAUUUAGGGUUUAGGAUUUGGUUUAGGAUUUGGUUAGGAUUUGAUUUAGGAUUUGAUUAGGAUUUGGUUUAGGAUUUAGGAUUUAAUUAGUUUUGGCCAAAAGUUUCAAUGAAGUGCAAUAGGAUUUUAAAUAGGAUUAAAUUAAUAAUGAAUUGAGAUGUAUUUGAGAUAUAUUUGUGAUCAUUCUGAUAUUUCUUUAAGAUUUCUUAUUGUGUCUUUGAAAUUUUUUUGAGGUUACUUUGAAUUUGAUUAAAGCUUGUUCAGUAUUAUUAUGGUUUAAUUAGAGUUUAGUUAGUAUUCUAUUAGAGUUAGGAUUUUGUUGUUGCAAUUUCUAUUCUACCUUCCAUAGCCAAGUACUCAAAGCAUUCUCAAGCAAGACUUCACGUAUUACGACAGCAUUGAAAUAGAUUGGAAUAUCUUAUUCAUUG
rnacentral:lncRNA from 1 species